GAAAAGAAGUGUAAGCAGCAGCUCAGCUGUAGAUGUAUAUACAUGCAAUAUCCACAUCGAUGAAUCUUUCGCAAGAUUUACAUAGCGCACCACUGAAAGGACGACCGCAUCUAUAUAAAAAGACUGCAAAUAUAGGCUGUUAUUCAGUGUUUUGCAGUAUUUUUAAGCAGCAAUCCAGAACUGACUAGAAACAAAUGAGCAAUGGGGUAUACCCCACCAACAAACACGCCUGCAUACAUCUGUAUUAACAACGCCUAAAAAACGUCCUCAUUCAAAAACUUACAAAUAGCAAAGAAAGCUCUGACCCAGCCAGUAGGACACCUUCAAACUGCUCUGUCCCCGAGAGGUCCAACAACUUCUGAAAUGGUCUGAGGAUGCUUCAGAGAGGAGAGGACUGCAAUCCAGGUUAAUCACACUGGCUGGGAACUUUUUUGCAGCUGAUGACAACAUCCUCCCUUCUCCCCUCACUGUGAACAGGAGACUGUUAAUCACCUGCAACCAGAAACAACACGGAUUUCUGUUAUAUGCUAGGACUAAUCAAAGAAAUACCUGAAGAGCAAAAAGGACCUGGAUGAGUUACAGCUGAUGCAACAGGGAGUAUUUGGAACUGGCAGACUGAGGCCACACAACAGCUAUUACUUAAGAUGCACCAAGCAUGUUACUGAGAUUCAGUUACAACUCCCAAGGAGAUGUUUUCGACGUACGUCUAAUACCGUGAGAGACCCACCACAGCAUCUUGCAAACCACCGC